UUUCAGUGGGAUUUGGGUUAAUAUAGUGAGCAAAGGACUCCUGUUGAUUUGUGUUGAACUGUGGAUGUGGGACUGAUGCAUUAAGCAGACUUUUUUUUUUUUUUUUUUUUGCUUAUGAAGUGUAUCUAUGUAUCACUAUCCUGCGGUCUUUACUGAAAUUGGUUUAACUAGAGAAGCAAGCGGUUGGCAACAUUAAUCUCUCGACAGGGUGUCUAACUCGAUGUUACAGUGUGUUUGACCCUGAAUUAAUUUUAUGCCGGAAUACACCUUUUUAAAAAUUUAACUAUACACAACCUUGUGGCUUGCCCAAAGUCAGAAGAUUUUUGUUUUUAUUUCCUUAAGCAGCAUCUUGUGUGGUCAUCAAACAAACAAACAGUCAAAAAAUGAAUAAUUUGCUCAUUUAUCCCAAAGUGUUUGCUUAUGUUUGGUUUUCUAUAGGGAAUGUAUUGCUUUUAUUACACAAGCACAGCUAUCAUUUCAUCCAUAUCCUCUUUCACCCAUUGUUGCCCUUUUGAUAUUUGUUCCCUUUUCAUUUGAGUUUUGGUUUCUUGAAAAAAAAAAAGUGUUGCUUCCUCCCAGCAGGCUGCAGAGUUGUGACAGCCAAGUCUGAGUGGCACUCCUGGUUUUGGCAGCAGCUAACACACAAGAGGCUGUGUUGAUGAGUUUAGACUGGGGGGGUCAUGUCAAAGUCAAAGCCUAGUUCUAAGCAAAGAGAGUUCACCCAUUUUGAGAUGUGAUGAAUUAUUACACUCACAUGCACAGAUACAAAGUCAUGAGUUUGGUUUGGCAAUAAAAUAAAAACUAGACAGUGUAACAGAAACUUAGAGAAGAGUAGAGUGAAACUUUACUCAAAGAGGACAGCAGGUGGAUCAACAACAAACAGGUGUAAAGGUCCUUACACACCGGGCGAGAAUUCGCCAGGCGAAUUAUUCGCCUUUUUUUAAAACAGCAUAAAGUCAAUGCAAGCUUCCACACCGGCUGCGAUUUUUCCGCGGGGCGAAAAGCCGCUUUUAUUUUUUCGCUCCUGUGUCGAAUUUUUCGGAUAUUUGCAGGCGAAUAUCUGAACCUGCUCGACCUCUGGCCAAUCAAAAGUCAUGUUGUUGAUGACAUCACAGACCCAUACGGCUGGAGGAGAGGGAGAAGUUUGAGAUUAUGAAAACGCAGACAAAGACAGCUGAGGUGCAUCCAAAACUCUUUCGAAUUACUAAUGAAGUAGUUUUCUCACAAGAUGACACUCUCUUGUCUUCCUUAGGAGACAGGUGUCAUGCACACUUCACAGGGUGACCGCCUGCGACUUUAUUAAUUCGCUUUGCAAAAAAUAUACGCAUAUUCGCUUUGCGGCCGGUGUGUAUAUGCGAAAGCGAUUUUUCGGACCGGCGAAUAUUCGCAAUUUUCGUCUCGCUUUUUCGCUUCACUCCGCAAAUUCGCCGGUGUGUAAGGACCUUUAGACUUGAAGGGCCUUGACACCACCAGAGCGUUGGAUUUGAGGCAGCAGUGGCUGUAAUGAAGCUGAGACAAUGAGACCAAUGAGCAGACUGAGCUGACCAGCUGCAGAGGAAAAAGCUGCAGGAGGAAAUAAGCACAGGCCCAGUGUCACUUCUUCACUUCAGUCUAACUUACACAUCUUUAUCUUCUACCUUUCUUUUCACGUUGUUGUGCUCUUAGUGAAGUCAUACAGGUGAAUUAAUGAUGCGCUCAUAACCAUAAAUAUUCAUGAUUUCUGAAAAACUUGCCAGAAAGGGAGCAAAACACUUCACAUGCACCAUUCCCACAAUCACAUUUAAGAUAUAUAUCCUCCUAAUUUAGCACUCAAUUUAUGCUGCAAGACUUGUGAUCUCUGCCUCUACUUUGCUAUUACCACCAUGCUGCUGCUGUUAAAAGCAUAAUCACACCAGCUCAUUCACUGCAAUGUUCCCUCUUAGUGGGAGAUAAGGUAUCAACAAGCAUUUGGUAAAAGUGAAUCUGACUGACUGUGAACAGCUAGGAUUAGUUCAGCCCUGAUGUCCAACCAUGUGCAUUACCCCACAAAAGCUUGGUUCCCUACUGGAGCCUGCAGCCAAAUGUCAAGCCAUGAAAAGCAUCCAAGUAAAUAAGAUAACUUCUAUUCUCUUUGGGUUUUAAAUUUCAGUCCCAGUCUUGUACCCAGUGUUGGUCAAGUUAACAUUUAGUGAUUUCUUCUCCAAGAAAGUAAUCCUGUUACUUUACUAAUCAUUCAAUGUCAAAAGUAAUUAGUUACUCUACUAAUUACUUUACUUAGUUAUUUUUCAAAAACAAUGAUGCACAACCUGAACUCCUAGACCUUUUAACCUAAUUCUAUUCUAUGGAAUAUUUUGCAUAUUCCAUCAUAUAAAAUUGUAUCAAAUUAAAAGUCACUUUUUCAAAACUUGUUUUAUUAGUUUCUAUUUUUUAACUGUAUGCACAUCGUAUCGAACAGUCUCUAAUUUGAAGAAAAUUGUUUAACAUUUUAACCCUCUUUCAACUCCUGUGCACUGACAGCAACUCCUUCUUCUGUUAACUUAUACACUCACCGGCCACUUUAUUAGGUACACCAUGCUAGUAACGGGUUGGACCCCCUUUUGCCUUCAGAACUGCCUCAAUUCUUCGUGGCAUAGAUUCAACAAGGUGCUGGAAGCAUUCCUCAGAGAGCUUGGUCCAUAUUGACAUGAUGGCAUCACACAGUUGCCGCAGAUUUGUCGGCUGCACAUCCAUGAUGCGAAUCUCCCGUUCCACCACAUCCCAAAGAUGCUCUAUUGGAUUGAGAUCUGGUGACUGUGGAGGCCAUUUGAGUACAGUGAACUCAUUGUCAUGUUCAAGAAACCAGUCUGAGAUGAUUCCAGCUUUAUGACAUGGCGCAUUAUCCUGCUGAAAGUAGCCAUCAGAAGUUGGGUACAUUGUGGUCAUAAAGGGAUGGACAUGGUCAGCAACAAUACUCAGGUAGGCUGUGGCGAUGCAACGAUGCUCAAUUGGUACCAAGGGGCCCAAAGAGUGCCAAGAAAAUAUUCCCCACACCAUGACACCACCAGCCUGAACCGUUGAUACAAGGCAGGAUGGAUCCAUGCUUUCAUGUUGUUGACGCCAAAUUCUGACCCUACCAUCCGAAUGUCGCAGCAGAAAUCGAGACUCAUCAGACCAGGCAACGUUUUUCCAAUCUUCUAUUGUCCAAUUUCGAUGAGCUUGUGCAAAUUGUAGCCUCAGUUUCCUGUUCUUAGCUGAAAGAAGUGGCACCCGGCGUGGUCUUCUGCUGCUGUAGCCCAUCUGCCUCAAAGUUCAACGUACUGUGCGUUCAGAGAUGCUCUUCUGCCUACCUUGGUUGUAACGGGUGGUUAUUUGAGUCACUGUUGCCUUUCUAUCAGCUCGAACCAGUCUGGCCAUUCUCCUCUGACCUCUGGCAUCAACAAGGCAUUUCCGCCCACAGAACUGCCGCUCACUGGAUAUUUUUUCUUUUUCGGACCAUUCUCUGUAAACCCUAGAGAUGGUUGUGCGUGAAAAUCCCAGUAGAUCAGCAGUUUCUGAAAUACUCAGACCAGCCCUUCUGGCACCAACAACCAUGCCAUGUUCAAAGUCACUCAAAUCACCUUUCUUCCCCAUACUGAUGCUCGGUUUGAACUGCAGGAGAUUGUCUUGACCAUGUCUACAUGCCUAAAUGCACUAAGUUGCCGCCAUGUGAUUGGCUGAUUAGAAAUUAAGUGUUAACGAGCAGUUGGACAGGUGUACCUAAUAAAGUGGCCGGUGAGUGUAUUUCCCUAUUCAGCGGCAAUAAGUAUUUUCACUUAUUUAGCAGGAGAGUGCCUGUGUCAGUCAUGUCAGUAGGGGGAUCAAAUUCCUGUGCUAGCUUGCUGGGUGCUUGCUCAGAUUCGAGGUAAAUUUUAUGCAGAGUGAACAGCGACAGUCUCACAAAACGCAAUCACGGUUUAGUAACGCAGCCUGUUUGUGGGAAAGUAACAGUAAUCUAAUUGCUGUUUUUACAAUUGUAAUCCCUUACUUUACUCAUUACUUGAAAAAAGUAACCGGAUUACAGUAACACGUUAUGCGUUACUGCCCAUCAGUGCUUGUACCUGAUCAUCACACUGCAAAACAAGUUGAUCUCAUGCAAAACAAUCAUGUUCUCCAGUGCGUGUACUUUAUAUUGUCUGUAUGAUUGCAGUCCGUGAACUGACCAUUUUUUCAGAAAAAUAUAAAACAGUGUUAAACUAGAUUGUAUUUGUUGUCCUCAUCUUACAUUAGUUUCACUCUGUGUCCAUCUGGAUCAACUAGGCUUUGAGUCUGUUCACUGUAAAAGUCUGUGCUGUCCUUACUUUAACCUCCCCUAACAGCAUCAAUCUGCAGAGACACAUCUAUGGACUGAUUCUGCUCAAUGAGCUGUCUGACCAACAUCAGUCAUUCCCAUAGAGACCUGCCACUAUUUUACUGUAACAUUCAUCUCCCUAAUGUGAGAAUUACACUAUUAAGAUGAUCUGUAUAUCAACCAGUCUUCAUUAUAACCAUUAAUAACUCCACAGCUGCUCUCACAGUCUCCUCACAUUCUCACCUUUUGUAACUUUCUAAUAUCAGAUCCUCCCUCAUCUGCAUCUCUCCCUCUAUGUCUCUCUCUCUCCCCCUUUCCUGGACAUCUUUCUGUCCAAAGCAAAUGGCGCACUAUACUCUCGCUCUUGAAAGAGUCACACAGGAAGGAGAGAAAUGACAGCACACACGUCAAUCAGCUGGAAGUGUGCAGUCCUUUAUUUCUUUACUGCUCUCUCAAUCAUGUUUUAAUCUUGAAUAUUUAGAGCUGAAACUCAACCUCUCUCUCUCUCUCUCUCUCCUGAGAAAGAGGAAAAGAAUUAAAUCUAAUACUUAGAAAUUUGAUAAGAUGGCAGGCUUUGAGCUUCACCGUCAGUGGAGGAAUCAGCAGAGAGCAGGCUGAAGAUUUGAAGGCAAAUAAACAAGUUUCUAUGUUUUAAUUUGCUUUUCUUCCUCCCUUUGGGUCCGCCUCUGUCUCCGAAACUCGUCUUUAAUUUGCUUCUCUUCCUUUUCUGUCCUCAAAUUCUGAAUCUCACCAGCUCUUAUGCUCUUUCAUUGUCUGUCUUUGCACUUUUGUUUCAAUUAGAUACUCAUUGUAUAAUCCAUCAUAUGUACAUUUUUGUAUGUAGUGUCUAGUUUGUGUUUUAAAACCAUUGUCUUUGUUGUAGCCACCACAAGCCUCCUUGCACACACACAAAUUCUGGGCCAGCUGCCUGACCCAGUCACAGUCUACUGUGAAAGUAUGUUAACUUUAUUGCUGUAUGUAUAUUUUGUGUGUAGUUGUCUAUCUCCUUGACCCCAAUCUUGACAAUCUUGUCCCCAUUCCUGUAAAUACAAUCCUCCAUCUACCCCAAGCUGAACUAAUGACUGAUGUUCAUACAAUGUAGCAGCUGCAAUGUGGGAAAAUGUCCCACAGUGAAAGAGAAAGUCAGCAGGGACAGAAGUUGAUUUUGUUUCCAUAGGACCAAAAGCAAAAAUCAGUCCACCUAAUGUGAGUCUACUUUUCUCUGUUUGGAAACAUACCGUUCUAGAUGAACCAAUUAAAAGUGUAAAGCAGUCAGUCUAACUGUUAAAGUGAGGAAACAAAAUCAACAUUUUCUUUAUCAUUUGGUUGGUUUAUUCAUUGAACCAGGACACCUCAAAGUCAGAUAAUUCUAUGUCAGCAUCAUGGAGAUCCAGAGGCUUAAUUUUGGAAUAAUUAUGUAAUAUUCAUUUAGUUAGUUCAGUUUUUACCUUAUCUUGUUAAUGUAUCUCUGUGAUGUGAGAUGCAAAAUCUACAAAAACCCUUAUAUAAUACCCUUAAUAAUAUUUACUUUGGAUGCUAGGGGUGGGAAUCACAAGAGGCCCCACGAUUCAAAACUAUUGCAAUACUUAAUGUUUUGUAAUAUAGUGAGUCUCGCAAUACUCCUUUUUGUUUUUUGUUGUACCAACUAUCUCCUGCUCUAUGAUGUUACC
rnacentral:lncRNA from 1 species